rnacentral:rRNA from 1 species
CCUACGGGGGGCAGCAGUGGGGAAUAUUGGACAAUGGGGGCAACCCUGAUCCAGCCAUGCCGCGUGUGUGAAGAAGGCCCUCGGGUUGUAAAGCACUUUCAGUGAGGAAGAACGCCUGGUGGUUAAUACCCAUCAGGAAAGACAUCACUCACAGAAGAAGCACCGGCUAACUCCGUGCCAGCAGCCGCGGUAAUACGGAGGGUGCGAGCGUUAAUCGGAAUUACUGGGCGUAAAGCGCGCGUAGGUGGCUUGAUAAGCCGGUUGUGAAAGCCCCGGGCUCAACCUGGGAACGGCAUCCGGAACUGUCCAGCUAGAGUGCAGGAGAGGAAGGUAGAAUUCCCGGUGUAGCGGUGAAAUGCGUAGAGAUCGGGAGGAAUACCAGUGGCGAAGGCGGCCUUCUGGACUGAUACUGACACUGAGGUGCGAAAGCGUGGGUAGCAAACAGGAUUAGAUACCCGUGUAGUC